rnacentral:lncRNA from 1 species
UGAUGUCAUGACAAACUUUUGUCAUUUUAUUAGUACUCAUACGCUCAACUUCUUGAGUGAAAAUGCAUUCGACAUUCGAAAAUAUAUAGGGAGGAAUAAAAUUGAGAUCUAUAUCAUGACCCUAAAGGUCGGGUCAAGAACUUUACUUAAUCUGAUGUAGUUAUGUAAUGCAAAUGCAGCACAAAUUAUUCUAUUUUGAUAUUGAGAUGAAUAUAUUGGCAUUUUAGCUAAAAACUUCCACUAUGCUUUUAAAAUGUCAAAUGCUCUCUCAAUACAACUUCUUAAAGAUGAAUGGGCUCGACUAAAAAUUUCUCACGGCAAUGUUGAUUUUUGUAGAUUAGCAGUGGAGUGUUU